AUGUCGCAGGUGCACGUCCCAGUGCACGUCACAGUGCAUGUCGCAGGUGCACGUCGGUCCCGGGCCUCUCGGGCGGCCCUCGGCGGGCCCAGUCCCGGGGGCAGGUGUUCUUCCGAGAACCUUCUCCCGACGCCAGGUGAGGAGCCAGGGUGGCUUCCCGCGGCGCUAGCUCUGGGGAGGGCCGUGGAGCGGAAGGCCUCGCCGUCGCCGGGCGCCUUUCCUCCGUGGAGCCGAGAAACCGGAGGAUGGACUCCUCGGGAUUCUGAGCGAAUGGUCGGCAGGAGCGCUUGUCCUCCUCCUGGGGCUCGCACGGAGCGCCGCUGGGUCCCCCGGCUUCUCGCCCGGCGCGGGGGAGAGGGGCUCCCGGCCCAGGAAAGAAAGAAAGAAAGAAAGAAAGAAAGAAAGAAAGAAGAAAAGAAAAAGGAUUACCACUGUGCUGUAUAUCAUCCACUAACUGAAGAGAAGAUGGCAGAUGCGUGAAAGUUAAAAUUCAAGCAGGCUACCAGAAAGCUCUAACUGCAGAUGACACAGGGGCAUGUGAAUGCCGCAUGUGGUUUCCUGGAGCACCGUUCUGUGUAGUCACACGUGUCCGUGUUAGCCAGCCUGGACUGCUGUGUUACGUUUGCCCCUCAGUUCCUGCGAUGCAGUGCUGGCAAAGUCCAACUACAGCUGACGUGAAAUGGAGCAUCAAGAUGCAGGACGGUCUCUGUAGGGAUGUCAUGGAGAAAGAAAUCAGUGUUGCUGAGAUGGUUAUAAGCCUUUCUUUUGAUGUGAAUGUUCUUUUUCUUUUUUUAAGAUUUUUUAAAAUUUAUUCACUCAUGAGAGAGGCAGAGACACAGGCAGAGGGAGAAACAGGCUCCCCUCGGGGCCAGAUGCAGGACUGGAUCCCAGGACCCCAGGGUCACACCCUGAGCCAAGGGCAGACACUCAACCACUGAGCACCACCGCCCCCCCCAUAUGCCCCUGAAGAGAAAGGUCUUAAUUUGAAACUUGUUUUUUAAAUUCCUGCCAUUCUGAGUUCUAAUCCUAUAGAAUACUCUUAAAGAAAUACGAUUUCUAGAGACUUCCCACCCUAUAUAUUUGCUAAGUAAAAUACAUACAGCAUCUCAUAUGGUAUUUGCCUAAAUGUUAUUUCCUUUCUUUCUCCUUCUUAACAGAACCAAGGGUGCAAGGGGGGAGGAAGUUCAUACUUUGACCUGCUUUGGCCACCAUGUGGCUAUGGCUCAGCUUUCUGUUGGGUGGUUAUGAAGACUGGAGAACAGUGGGAAGGAGGCAGGCUAGUUCAGUGUCUCUGCUCUAAGGAGAAGGUGACAUCUGAUUUCAGAAUAUUUGUAGAACGUGAUGGCUACUGUUAUGUCACCUUGACUGGUUUGGUGGGGCCAGAUGACUGAUAAAAUGUUGUCUCUGGGUGUGUCUGUGAGGGUGUUUCAGGAAGAGAUGGUUCUUGGGUUUAGUAGAUAGAGAUCUGCUCUCAGCCAUGUGGGAGGACAUCAUCUAAUCCUUUAAGGACCUGAGUGGGGAAAAAGGGUGAAGGAAGGAUCAAUGUCCCAUCUCUCUCCUUGAACUGGGACAUCUUUUCCUGCUUUUGGUUCUUGGGCCUUUGGACUCUGGAGCUUAUACCAGUGACACCUCCAGUUCUCAGGCUUUGGCCUCAGACUGAUCAUACCACUGGCUUCUCAUCUCAUUGCAGAUGGCAGAUUAUUGGACUUCUCAGCCUCCGCAACUGUGUAAGCAGAUUCCUACAGUAAGUUCCUACAACACACAUACAGUGAAAAGAGACAUGUAUAUAUAUCUAUAUAUCUUAUUCUAUAUCUCUGGAGAACCCUGACUAAUACAGAGAAUAAAGACAUUGAGUUAAGACAAUUUCUAACAUCCGGUAGACAAUCAGUAAAUAUUUGUUGAAUGAACAAAUCGAUAAUCACAUAAAGAUAAUAAAUGCCAACAUAUGCGCUCAUCAUGAUCGAAUAAGCCAGAAGCGGAAGGUUGCAGAUGUGCUUGUCUGUUCAGUUUGCCAUGACAAAAUACCACAGACUGGGUGGAUUAAACAAUGGAAAGUUAUUUUCUCAUGGUUCCGAAGGUAAAAAGUCCAAGAUCAGAGUGCCGUCAGGGUUGUUUCUGGGGAAGCCUCUCCUCCUGUUUUGCGGUUGGCUGCCUUCUCAAAGGACAGAGAUCUCUGACAUCUCUUAAUCUUCUUAUAGAGACACGAGUCCUGUGACUUCAUUUACUUUUAAUUACCUGCUUAAAGGCCCUGUCUCCAAAUAUAGCCACCUUCGGAGUUAAGGCUGCAACAUAGGAGUCUGGGGCAAGGGGUGCGGGAGGGGGACACAAUUCAUUCCACCACAUGGAGGAAUGCUGACAUUGUAAGAAAUGUGAAUGUAUGAACUUUCGGCAGCUGUUAUCUGGUAACUAUUUUAUCUACACAUUUUUCACCUUAAAGGCUGGUUUGAGAACCAUGCAAUCUAUCCUGAUCUAGCGUUUGCGGAAGGGAGAUACAAGGGAUUUCAAGUAGUUCGGUACCUACAGUACGUUCAAAACUUUCAAAUUUGUGGUGCCGAUAUAAAUUCUCCUGAGGAUGGCCUACAGAUUUUGCAAUAGUCACAUUCCUUCAAAACAUCUCCCAAACAACAAUGAACAAGCCAAAAAAACCCACACGACUAAAAUAAGUGGUUCAAUAGAAUGCAACUCAUUGUUUGGACUUCACUUGAAUGGGGUUGAUUCCAAGGAGAAGAACUGAGUGGCAAUGAAUUUCACACUCCUAGCUCUUUAGGUACAUUUAUUGAACAAUAGUUAGUAUAUUAUAUAAUUUAAUAAUAAAUAUUCGUUUUCAUGUGAGCUAGCUAGCAAAAUUCUAAGCACUAUAUGAUGUGUUUGGCAUAGUAUUUAUAACUCUAUAAUCUCUACUUUUAUUUUUAAAUUAAUUUAAAAAGUGGCUACAGGGGUUUAAACUCUAUUCUAGUAGAUUUAUUGGGCCACUUAGCUUUAAUUACUCAUAGGACAUACAGCAUUGGUUUAAAAUAAAAAGAUGAAAUAAAUAUAUUUUGAGCAAUCCAGAUUAUAUUGAGCUCUAAAACCAUGUCUGAUAAAGAUGUCCACCAAUGUUCCACCGUAGUACAAUAGUAAAAUUAGGAUUUAAGGAUCAGGUAUAUAGAUGACAUAACUUGAAAUAAUUUGCUGGACCCAUUUUGAAGAAAUGGCAAUGUUGAUGAAUAUCCGGUUUUAUUUUACAAUUUUCUCCCAUGUAUGUUUUUUUGUUGGAUUAUUUUAUCUUUACGUGUUGCAGACUACUAGUAUUUAUUAUUCUUAGACUAGUUCAAGUUGUCAGAUUUUCUAAUCUAAAAUCACUUGGUUUAUGUACAAGAUUUAUAUUUUUGUAAAAGUGUAUUUUAUCACACAAUGUGUGAGAAAAGCAGGUAUGGGGUUAUUAUAUAUGGGAUAAAAUAAGACUUUAUGUAUAUAAAUAUAUAUAUUCAUAUUUAUUGUAUACAUAUAUCUGUUUACACAUUUCUGUUAAUUCUCUUUUACUCCUUCCUGUGUUCCUGUCUGUCUUCCAUAGCCUAUUCAUCAUUGUUUCUUAUUUCCCAUUCUUCACACAAUCUCCAUCAAGAUCUAAAGUGCACAUAUUUCUUUGAAUCCUUCCCAAAUCGCUUACUUGUAAAAGAUCCCCUUUUGUCUCUUUCUCUUUCACACACCUACAAAAUAAUAAGUAGGGAUAUCUAGGUACUUUUUUUUGCCAUUUCCAAGCAAAUUUUAUGUAGCAGAAUAUUGGCAUUUGACACUCAAUACAUGUGAGUUCAUUUUCUUCCAUUUUUUUGAAGAAUGAGAUGAUGUUAGCUGAACAUGAAAUCUCAUAGUUUCCUGGCAUACGGAAGUGCUUUCUUUCAUCUGAGGUUACUAUGACCUCCUCCCCCAAUAUGACCUUGUGAUUAAAUUCUGAGCUCUGGUCUUUUUGCAAGGCUGUCUGAAUUUUAGUUUUUGAAACAAAUGCUAGAUGGCGACUCCAUGAAAAUAAAAAUUUUGAGAUCAGAGAAGAGUUUCUACUGCUUCUCCUUUCACUAUAAUUGGUGGUUUUCCAGGAAAUUAAAUGAAAAUAUAGGAGCGUGUGGUUUUAGAGGAGAUGCUUCAUUUUAAUAAUAAUAAUAGUAAUAAUAAUAAUAAUAAUAAUCAGCUGUCCCACAGUAAAUAAUAAUAAUUAUUAUUACGUGCAUAGGCCCCCCUUGGAACUGGUGGUUGACCAGUGUCCUGAUGUUUCUACCCCUAUGAACAUUGUUCUGUGAUUUCAGUUACUGUUCAGUUCAGUAUCUGGAAUGUAUAAAUACAGUCUUGGUUUCUUUUAAAUGCUCUGCUAAUUCUGCUUGAUGGUGCUCAAACUUAAGGCAGAACUCCGUGAGAAUUAUAGAACUUUUAUACCUGGAAUAUAUCUGAAAAAAAAAAAAAUUGACUUAGUGAAAAGCUAAGUGAAAAGCUAUACCCAUGGGCUGAUUGUACUCCUCAAGAUUCUUGGAGCAAUAAUGGGCAGAAAUCUAACUUAAGGAAAGAAAAGAAUGAUUGGCAUGAAAAUGAUGUAAUUUGCAAAAGAAUAAAGGGCUCUCCUGCAGCUCCUACACUCCCGACCUGGAGACUCAGGGUUGCCAGGAUCUUUCCUCUUGGAAUCUUAUUUCUACCUUCCUGUGGGUGUAGGUUUCAGUAUUUUAGAUUCUUCCGUAGGAAAAUAUUUCUCCAGAAUAAAGAUUGGAGAAGAAAGAGAAAUUGUCUUCAAAUUACUCAUUUAAAAAAUAGGGGCAGCCCAGGUGACUCAGCGGUUUAGCACCGCCUUCAGCCCAGGGCAUGGUCCUGGAGACCCGGAAUCGAGUCCCGUGUAGGGCUCCCUGCAUGGAGCCUGCUUCUCCCUCUGCCUGUGUCUCUGCCUCCCUCUCUCUCUCUCUCUCUCCCUGUCUCUCA
rnacentral:lncRNA from 1 species